AGUUAUAUCUUACCGGCCACUGUGGAGCUCAGAACCUACUUGUUGUCGAACUCUAAAGAAUUUUUAUUUUAGAAGAUGCACCUUAUUGGAUUUUAAGGAGCUUUUUAGCCCAACUUGUUAUCAUCGUGCUGAACUUUAAACUAAUUCAUCUGGUCAAGAUUAGACCAUCAGUGAGCAGGUGAAUUUGUAUUGGAAAACAUAUUGAACAUUGACUGACCAUAAUAUAGGAGUAGUUGAUCUCUAAUGAAGAUUAUCUCCAGAGACAGCCAAAAUUACAGAGAAUAAACUACCGUAUUAUAAAGAAGAAAUAAUCCACUCAGAGCAGUUAUAUUUGCACA